GUGGUAAUGCCGGAUGCUCCGGUUGGAUGCAUGUCCUUCCGGGAAAGGUUCCAUCGGUAUGGGAUGGGGUCGCGUCCUAUCAGCUUGAUGGCGGGGUAACGGCCCACCAUGGCUUCGACGGGUAGCCGGCCUGAGAGGGCGACCGGCCACAUUGGGACUGAGAUACGGCCCAGACUCCUACGGGAGGCAGCAGUGGGGAAUAUUGCACAAUGGGCGCAAGCCUGAUGCAGCGACGCCGCGUGCGGGAUGGAGGCCUUCGGGUUGUAAACCGCUUUUGAUCGGGAGCAAGCCCUUCGGGGUGAGUGUACCUUUCGAAUAAGCACCGGCUAACUACGUGCCAGCAGCCGCGGUAAUACGUAGGGUGCAAGCGUUAUCCGGAAUUAUUGGGCGUAAAGGGCUCGUAGGCGGUUCGUCGCGUCCGGUGUGAAAGCCCAUCGCUUAACGGUGGGUCUGCGCCGGGUACGGGCGGGCUGGAGUGCGGUAGGGGAGACUGGAAUUCCCGGUGUAACGGUGGAAUGU
rnacentral:rRNA from 1 species